AAUAAAGUGCCUGAUUAAAAGGGUUAUCUUGAUAGGAUAAAUCAUGUAAAAUCAAUUACCUUUAUUA
rnacentral:tRNA from 1 species